rnacentral:rRNA from 1 species
GACGAACGCUGGCGGCGUGCUUAACACAUGCAAGUCGAACGGAAAGGCCCUGCUUUUGUGGGGUGCUCGAGUGGCGAACGGGUGAGUAACACGUGAGUAACCUGCCCUUGACUUUGGGAUAACUUCAGGAAACUGGGGCUAAUACCGGAUAGGAGCUCCUGCUUCAGGGUGGGGGUUGGAAAGUUUCGGCGGUUGGGGAUGGACUCGCGGCUUAUCAGCUUGUUGGUGGGGUAGUGGCUUACCAAGGCUUUGACGGGUAGCCGGCCUGAGAGGGUGACCGGCCACAGUGGGACUGAGAUACGGCCCAGACUCCUACGGGAGGCAGCAGUGGGGAAUAUUGCACGAUGGGCGGAAGCCUGAUGCAGCAACGCCGCGUGCGGGAUGACGGCCUUCGGGUUGUAAACCGCUUUCGCCUGUGACGAAGCGUGAGUGACGGUAAUGGGUAAAGAAGCACCGGCUAACUACGUG